rnacentral:rRNA from 1 species
CCGGGUGAGUAACACGUAUCCAACCUGCCGUCUACUCUUGGACAGCCUUCUGAAAGGAAGAUUAAUACAAGAUGGCAUCAUGAGUCCGCAUGUUCACAUGAUUAAAGGUAUUCCGGUAGACGAUGGGGAUGCGUUCCAUUAGAUAGUAGGCGGGGUAACGGCCCACCUAGUCUUCGAUGGAUAGAGGUUCUGAGAGGAAGGUCCCCCACAUUGGAACUGAGACACGGUCCAA